GGAGGGGGCUUACAGUCAAGUCAAGCGGUAACAAUUCUAGCUUGCUACAAGAUGACAAACGGCGGAUGGCCAAGUAAUGCUUGGUAAAUCGCCCUUAGGUGGGGGAGAACAGUUGGAAACCACAGCCAAUACCGCAUAAAGUUUCCUGACCAAAGGGGGCUUCGUCUCUCGCCCUUAGAUGGGCCCAAGUGGAAUUACCAAGUUGGUGGGGUAACGGCCCACCAAGGCGACCAUCCCUAACCGAUUUAAAAAGAAGAUCAGCCCCCCUGGAACUGAAACACGUUCCAAAAUCCUACGGAAGGAACCAGUGGGAAAUAUUGCACAAUGGGCAAAACCCUGAUACACCCAUCCCUCGUGUGUGAAGAAGGCCUUCGGUUUGAAAACCACUUUCAUUAAAAAAGAAAGAGGUGUGAGAUAAUACCCCAUAGCUGCGACGUUACUUACAGAAAAAGCACCGGCUAACUCCUGUCGCCAGU
rnacentral:rRNA from 1 species